rnacentral:misc_RNA from 1 species
AACGCACAUUGCGCCCCCUGGUAUUCCGGGGGGCAUGCCUGUCCGAGCGUCAUUGCUGCCCUCAAGCACGGCUUGUGUGUUGGGCCCUCGCCCCCCUUCCGGGGGGGCGGGCCCGAAAGGCAGCGGCGGCACCGUCCGGUCCUCGAGCGUAUGGGGCUUUGUCACCCGCUCGUGUAGGCCCGGUCGGCGCCUGUCGACACCCAUCAAUCUUACCCAGGUUGACCUCGGAUCAGGUAGGGAUACCCGCUGAACUUAA